GAUAAGAAACUUUUCCAAUGCAGGAACAAGUUGUGCUCAAUGUUUCUCUUCUCGGCUGCCUCUGACGUCCGCAGCUUGUGUGUCAGAUAGGAGAUAAUAACUGUAACAGCUUCAUUGUUAAACUGGGAGAAUAAUGAGACGUUUUCUGAGGAAUUUGAGCUGAAGGUAAAAGUGUAACAAGGCGAGUGUUUGCUGUUCUCCAGGUGUGCUCCCAUGGCUGGAGGCAGAGGAGAGGAGGACUGCUGAGUGAGCACAGACGACUGCUAAACAUCUUCAAGGUCUUUGUGAGGCAUAAAUGGGCAACAGGAGGUGCCUUCCCAGAGGAGACUCGUCUGGAUGCUCAGGGGUUUGCAGGUUUCGGCAUGUUGCGGCAGGGAUUGUUCCACUCGCUGUUCCUUUUUCCUAUGCAUAUACUUCUUUGAGACAUAACUUUAAAGAGGCAUAAGGCAUGGGAAAAUGGGGCUGCAGAGGUAUUCCACCCGACUCAGCUCAACCAGCAGCAUUCACUCCUGCAGCCACUUUCAUGAAAGCCUUCCAGCCUGACGUGAAGUUGUGGAGGAAAACGGUUCAACAGCAGCAGAAAACAGGCAAAUUUAAUGCAUGUCUGCAAUCUGUUGACUCCAAUAACUGCUUUUCUUUUCUAGGAACAAGCUUUUCUUAUGGCUCUGUUUGCUUUUGAUCACUUAUGGAUGAGGAGGUGAUUGUUCUGCAUUCAUCUUGUCUUCUGUUUGUCUCUGUCAUUGUUGCUUUAUUAUUGUCUUAAAUAAAGAACCUGCUUCUCUGAAAGUC